rnacentral:rRNA from 1 species
GAUGAACGCUGGCGGCGUGCUUAACACAUGCAAGUCGAACGAAGCACUUUAUUUGAUUUCCUUCGGGACUGAUUAUUUUGUGACUGAGUGGCGGACGGGUGAGUAACGCGUGGGUAACCUGCCUUGUACAGGGGGAUAACAGUUGGAGACGGCUGCUAAUACCGCAUAAGCGCACGGCAUCGCAUGAUGCAGUGUGAAAAACUCCGGUGGUAUAAGAUGGACCCGCGUUGGAUUAGCUAGUUGGUGAGGUAACGCCCCACCAAGGCGACGAUCCAUAGCCGACCUGAGAGGGUGACCGGCCACAUUGGGACUGAGACACGGCCCAAACUCCUACGGGAGGCAGCAGUGGGGAAUAUUGCACAAUGGGCGAAAGCCUGAUGCAGCGACGCCGCGUGAGCGAAGAAGUAUUUCGGUAUGUAAAGCUCUAUCAGCAGGGAAGAUAAUGACGGUACCUGACUAAGAAGCACCGGCUAAAUACGUG